rnacentral:rRNA from 1 species
CAGGCCUAACACAUGCAAGUCGGACGAGUAUCUUCGGAUGCUAGUGGCGCACGGGUGAGUAACGCGUAACUGACCUGCCCCCAACUCGUGGAUAACCCUCCGAAAGGAGGGCUAAUACAUGAUGUGCUGUCCUUUUUCUGGAAGGCCAGUAAAGACUUGAUCGGUUGGGGAUGGGGUUGCGUUCCAUCAGCUUGUUGGUGGGGUAACGGCCCACCAAGGCGACGACGGAUCGCCGGCCUGAGAGGGUGGCCGGCCACAGGGGCACUGAGACACGGGUCCCACUCCUACGGGAGGCAGCAGUUAGGAAUCUUCCACAAUGGGCGAAAGCCUGAUGGAGCGACGCCGCGUGAGGGACGAAGGUUCUCGGAUCGUAAACCUCUGAAUCUGGGACGAAAGACGCGACAAGCGGGAUGACGGUACCAGAGUAAUAGCACCGGCUAACUCCGUGCCAGCAGCCGCGGUAAU